GAUGAACGCUGGCGGCGCGCCUAAUACAUGCAAGUCGAACGCAUAGCGAAAGGUGCUUGCACCUUUCAAGUGAGUGGCGAACGGGUGAGUAACACGUGGACAACCUGCCUCAAGGCUGGGGAUAACAUUUGGAAACAGAUGCUAAUACCGAAUAAAACUUAGUGUCGCAUGACACAAAGUUAAAAGGCGCUUCGGCGUCACCUAGAGAUGGAUCCGCGGUGCAUUAGUUAGUUGGUGGGGUAAAGGCCUACCAAGACAAUGAUGCAUAGCCGAGUUGAGAGACUGAUCGGCCACAUUGGGACUGAGACACGGCCCAAACUCCUACGGGAGGCUGCAGUAGGGAAUCUUCCACAAUGGGCGAAAGCCUGAUGGAGCAACGCCGCGUGUGUGAUGAAGGCUUUCGGGUCGUAAAGCACUGUUGUAUGGGAAGAACAGCUAGAAUAGGAAAUGAUUUUAGUUUGACGGUACCAUACCAGAAAGGGACGGCUAAAUACGUG
rnacentral:rRNA from 1 species